GUGUUAGUGGAAGCGUCUGGAAAGGCGUGCGAUACAGGGUGACAGCCCCGUACACAAAAAUGCACAUAUUGUGAGCUCGAUGAGUAGGGCGGGACACGUGGUAUCCUGUCUGAAUAUGGGGGGACCAUCCUCCAAGGCUAAAUACUCCUGACUGACCGAUAGUGAACCAGUACCGUGAGGGAAAGGCGAAAAGAACCCCGGCGAGGGGAGUGAAAAAGAACCUGAAACCGUGUACGUACAAGCAGUGGGAGCCUCUUAAUGGGGUGACUGCGUACCUUUUGUAUAAUGGGUCAGCGACUUAUAUUCUGUAGCAAGGUUAACCGAAUAGGGGAGCCGAAGGGAAACCGAGUCUUAACUGGGCGUUAAGUUGCAGGGUAUAGACCCGAAACCCGGUGAUCUAGCCAUGGGCAGGUUGAAGGUUGGGUAACACUAACUGGAGGACCGAACCGACUAAUGUUGAAAAAUUAGCGGAUGACUUGUGGCUGGGGGGGAAAGGCCAAUCAAACCGGGAGAUAGCUGGUUCUCCCCGAAAGCUAUUUAGGUAGCGCCUCGUGAAUUCAUCUCCGGGGGUAGAGCACUGUUUCGGCAAGGGGGUCAUCCCGACUUACCAACCCGAUGCAAACUGCGAAUACCGGAGAAUGUUAUCACGGGAGACACACGGCGGGUGCUAACGUCCGUCGUGAAGAGGGAAACAACCCAGACCGCCAGCUAAGGUCCCAAAGUCAUGGUUAAGUGGGAAACGAUGUGGGAAGGCCCAGACAGCCAGGAUGUUGGCUUAGAAGCAGCCAUCAUUUAAAGAAAGCGUAAUAGCUCACUGGUCGAGUCGGCCUGCGCGGAAGAUGUAACGGGGCUAAACCAUGCACCGAAGCUGCGGCAGCGACACUAUGUGUUGUUGGGUAGGGGAGCGUUCUGUAAGCCUGUGAAGGUGGCCUGUGAGGGUUGCUGGAGGUAUCAGAAGUGCGAAUGCUGACAUAAGUAACGAUAAAGCGGGUGAAAAGCCCGCUCGCCGGAAGACCAAGGGUUCCUGUCCAACGUUAAUCGGGGCAGGGUGAGUCGACCCCUAAGGCGAGGCCGAAAGGCGUAGUCGAUGGGAAACAGGUUAAUAUUCCUGUACUUGGUGUUACUGCGAAGGGGGGACGGAGAAGGCUAUGUUGGCCGGGCGACGGUUGUCCCGGUUUAAGCGUGUAGGCUGGUUUUCCAGGCAAAUCCGGAAAACCAAGGCUGAGGCGUGAUGACGAGGCACUACGGUGCUGAAGCGACAAAUGCCCUGCUUCCAGGAAAAGCCUCUAAGCAUCAGGUAACAUCAAAUCGUACCCCAAACCGACACAGGUGGUCAGGUAGAGAAUACCAAGGCGCUUGAGAGAACUCGGGUGAAGGAACUAGGCAAAAUGGUGCCGUAACUUCGGGAGAAGGCACGCUGAUAUGUAGGUGAAGCGACUUGCUCGUGGAGCUGAAAUCAGUCGAAGAUACCAGCUGGCUGCAACUGUUUAUUAAAAACACAGCACUGUGCAAACACGAAAGUGGACGUAUACGGUGUGACGCCUGCCCGGUGCCGGAAGGUUAAUUGAUGGGGUUAGCGGCAACGCGAAGCUCUUGAUCGAAGCCCCGGUAAACGGCGGCCGUAACUAUAACGGUCCUAAGGUAGCGAAAUUCCUUGUCGGGUAAGUUCCGACCUGCACGAAUGGCGUAAUGAUGGCCAGGCUGUCUCCACCCGAGACUCAGUGAAAUUGAACUCGCUGUGAAGAUGCAGUGUACCCGCGGCAAGACGGAAAGACCCCGUGAACCUUUACUAUAGCUUGACACUGAACAUUGAGCCUUGAUGUGUAGGAUAGGUGGGAGGCUUUGAAGUGUGGACGCCAGUCUGCAUGGAGCCGACCUUGAAAUACCACCCUUUAAUGUUUGAUGUUCUAACGUUGGCCCGUAAUCCGGGUUGCGGACAGUGUCUGGUGGGUAGUUUGACUGGGGCGGUCUCCUCCUAAAGAGUAACGGAGGAGCACGAAGGUUGGCUAAUCCUGGUCGGACAUCAGGAGGUUAGUGCAAUGGCAUAAGCCAGCUUGACUGCGAGCGUGACGGCGCGAGCAGGUGCGAAAGCAGGUCAUAGUGAUCCGGUGGUUCUGAAUGGAAGGGCCAUCGCUCAACGGAUAAAAGGUACUCCGGGGAUAACAGGCUGAUACCGCCCAAGAGUUCAUAUCGACGGCGGUGUUUGGCACCUCGAUGUCGGCUCAUCACAUCCUGGGGCUGAAGUAGGUCCCAAGGGUAUGGCUGUUCGCCAUUUAAAGUGGUACGCGAGCUGGGUUUAGAACGUCGUGAGACAGUUCGGUCCCUAUCUGCCGUGGGCGCUGGAGAACUGAGGGGGGCUGCUCCUAGUACGAGAGGACCGGAGUGGACGCAUCACUGGUGUUCGGGUUGUCAUGCCAAUGGCACUGCCCGGUAGCUAAAUGCGGAAGAGAUAAGUGCUGAAAGCAUCUAAGCACGAAACUUGCCCCGAGAUGAGUUCUCCCUGAGACUUAGAGUCUCCUGAAGGAACGUUGAAGACGACGACGUUGAUAGGCCGGGUGUGUAAGCGCAGCGAUGCGUUGAGCUAACCGGUACUAAUGAACCGUGAGGCUUAACCUU
rnacentral:rRNA from 1 species